rnacentral:rRNA from 1 species
AAUGAACGUUGGCGGCGUGGAUUAGGCAUGCAAGUCGAGCGGUAAGGCUCCUUCGGGAGUACACGAGCGGCGAAAGGGAGAGUAACGCGUGGAUAUCUGCCCUCAGAACAUCAAUAGCUGCGGGAAACUGCAGGUAAUGGAUGAUAAUGUCUCCGGACCAAAGGUGUGAUUCCGUCUGAGGAUGAGUCCGCGUCCUAUUAGCUUGUUGGUGGGGUAAUGGCCUACCAAGGCGAAGAUGGGUAGCGGGUGUGAGAGCAUGGCCCGUCUCACCGGGACUGAGACACUGCCCAGACACCUACGGGUGGCUGCAGUCGAGAAUCUUCGGCAAUGGACGCAAGUCUGACCGAGCAACGCCGCGUGCGGGAUGAAGGCCUUCGGGUUGUAAACCGCUGUCAGUUGGGAGGAAAUCUAGGAGGGCUAUCCCUCCUAGUUGACCGAUCUUCAGAGGAAGGACGGGCUAAGUUCGUGCCAGCCGCCGCCGUAAAAC